rnacentral:rRNA from 1 species
GACGAACGCUGGCGGCGCGCCUAACACAUGCAAGUCGAACGGAGCUUAGAGAGCUUGCUUUUUAAGCUUAGUGGCGAACGGGUGAGUAACGCGUGAGUAACCUGCCCUAGAGUGGGGGACAACAGUUGGAAACGACUGCUAAUACCGCAUAAGCCCACGGUACCGCAUGGUACUGAGGGAAAGGGAUUUAUUCGCUUUAGGAUGGACUCGCGUCCAAUUAGCUAGUUGGUGAGGUAACGGCCCACCAAGGCGACGAUUGGUAGCCGGACUGAGAGGUUGAACGGCCACAUUGGGACUGAGACACGGCCCAGACUCCUACGGGAGGCAGCAGUGGGGGAUAUUGCACAAUGGGGGAAACCCUGAUGCAGCGACGCCGCGUGGAGGAAGAAGGUUUUCGGAUUGUAAACUCCUGUCGUUAGGG